GAUGAACGCUAGCUACAGGCUUAACACAUGCAAGUCGAGGGGCAGCACGGAGAUAGCUUGCUAUCUUGGGUGGCGACCGGCGCACGGGUGAGUAACGCGUAUCCAACCUGCCCAUUACUCUGGGAUAGCCUUGCGAAAGUAAGAUUAAUACCGGAUGUUGUUUAGAGUUCGCAUGAAUUUUAAACCAAAGAUUUAUUGGUAAUGGAUGGGGAUGCGUGACAUUAGGUAGUUGGUGAGGUAACGGCUCACCAAGCCUACGAUGUCUAGGGGUUCUGAGAGGAAGGUCCCCACACUGGAACUGAGACACGGUCCAGACUCCUACGGGAGGCAGCAGUGAGGAAUAUUGGU
rnacentral:rRNA from 1 species